AUAUCAAUAAGCGGAGGAAAAGAAACUAACAAGGAUUCCCCUAGUAACUGCGAGUGAAGCGGGAAAAGCUCAAAUUUGAAAAUCUGGCGGUCUGCGUCCGUCCGAGUUGUAUUCUGGAGAAGCGUCUAUCCGCGUCCGGACCGUGUACAAGUGCCUUCUGGAACAGGAGCGUCAUAGAGGGUGAGAAUCCCGUCUUUGACACGGACAAGCCCGAUGCUUCUGUGAUGCGCUCUCGAAGAGUCGAGUUGUUUGGGAAUGCAGCUCAAAAUGGGUGGUAAAUUCCAUCUAAAGCUAAAUAUUGGCGAGAGACCGAUAGCGAACAAGUACCGUGAAGGGAAAGAUGAAAAGCACUUUGGAAAGAGAGUUAAAACAGUAC
rnacentral:rRNA from 1 species